rnacentral:lncRNA from 1 species
CCAGAGUAAUAAAUCUCCUUCAACCAAACGUGAUAGCUGCAGUGAUAAUUCUAAAUCUCUUUUCAUUCACUCCAUCAACCAAAAUCCAAUAAUAAAAACAUGGUGUUUUCCCAGAAGCAAAGAACGUUACCGCCCCCCUCCAAAAGUGUGUCUCGGCUCCUCUUUUAUCAUCCAAUGCCGAGAGGGUAUUGUCCAAUUUCCAUGUGACGGCUGCUAAAAAUUAAAAGCAAUCCCCAUACGUGUGCCCUACUGCUGCC